rnacentral:rRNA from 1 species
UCAGACGAUGCGUCAUGCAUAUCAAUAAGCGGAGGAAAAGAAACUAACAAGGAUUCCCCUAGUAACGGCGAGUGAAGCGGGAAGAGCUCAAAUUUGAAAUCUUAAAGGGUUUCCCUUUACGAAUUGUAGUUUAAAGAAGUGUUUUCUGUUGAGGUUUUGGUAAAAGUUCUUUGGAAUAGGACAUCAUAGAGGGUGAGAAUCCCGUAUUUGACCUUUACUUUCAACUUUGUGAUAGCACUUUCAAAGAGUCGGAUUGUUUGGGAAUGCAGUCCAAAAUGGGUGGUAAAUUUCAUCUAAAGCUAAAUAUUGGCGAGAGACCGAUAGCGAACAAGUACCGUGAGGGAAAGAUGAAAAGAACUUUGAAAAGAGAGUUAAACAGUACGUGAAAUUGUCAAAAGGGAAGCGUUUGACACCAGUGUUGUUUUUCUGAAAAUCAAUUAAAGAACUGUUUAUGCUAAGUUGUUUAGACUUUAUCAGCUAACUGUUUAGUUUUGAGCUUUUCUUUAGUGCACUUUUCAGUUAACAAGUCAACAUCAAUUUCUUUUGCUGUAAAAAAGCUUGAGGAAGGUGGCUUGAGAUUCGUCUUAAGUGUUUAUAGCCUCUUGCCUAUGCAGUCGGAGAGAUUGAGGUCUGCAGCGUAGAUCCUUCGGGGCUAAAUGCAUUUGUGCUAAGUUAUAGCAUUUCAUAGACAACUUGUUGACUAUGAUUUGUCUUGUAGCUUACUCGCUUAUGUUAUUUUACCUACGCUUAGGAUGUUGAAUCUGUGCGAGACUAC